UUGGUGUGUUACCGGUGGUCGGCUCCCUUGGAACUUCCACCGACAUUCCUGAUUAUCGGUUACGGCUUUGAUUGCCUGAACAAAUUGUCGGUUUGCUGUGUUGCCUGCCUAACAAACGGUAUUGAUUUGGCUUAUCUAAGUUUCGUUCGUCUUUCGUCAUGUGUUUGACGUUAGAUGUGCCCUGAACAUGCUUCUUUGAACCACAAUGUUAAAGCUUUUGUUGAUGUAGUGGCGCAUUGAGCCUUGCUUGGUCUCUUUGAUGUAGUGCUUUAUGUGGGCAUGGGUCUGUUUGGAUCCUUGUUAUGUCCCUGAUUAGUGUUUACGUUUCGUAAAAUGACUGCUUGACACGUGUUGGCWCGUAAAAUCGUGUUGGGCUUCGUCKAAAAGGAAUGUUACCUGGU
rnacentral:misc_RNA from 1 species